UACGUAGGGCGCAAGCGUUAUCCGGAAUUACUGGGCGUAAAGCGCACGUAGGCGGAUACUUAAGUCAGGGGUGAAAUCCCGGGGCUCAACCCCGGAACUGCCUUUGAUACUGGGUAUCUCGAGUCCGGAAGAGGUGAGUGGAAUUCCGAGUGUAGAGGUGAAAUUCGUAGAUAUUCGGAGGAACACCAGUGGCGAAGGCGGCUCACUGGUCCGGUACUGACGCUGAGGUGCGAAAGCGUGGGGAGCAAACAGG
rnacentral:rRNA from 1 species